UACGUAGGGUGCAAGCGUUAAUCGGAAUUACUGGGCGUAAAGCGUGCGCAGGCGGUUUUGUAAGUCUGAUGUGAAAUCCCCGGGCUCAACCUGGGAAUUGCAUUGGAGACUGCAAGGCUAGAAUCUGGCAGAGGGGGGUAGAAUUCCACGUGUAGCAGUGAAAUGCGUAGAUAUGUGGAGGAACACCGAUGGCGAAGGCAGCCCCCUGGGUCAAGAUUGACGCUCAUGCACGAAAGCGUGGGGAGCAAACAG
rnacentral:rRNA from 1 species